GCUCGUGUUCCUGUAGAAGUUUUUCUGUCUCAUCCUUGUUGUUUCCGAUCUCCAGGAGGUUGGGUUGUGCUUCAGUCAACUGUAGUUGCAGCAAUUCUCCACACUUCAAUGAAACCAAAAACCAAAGACACGGUUAUAGUGUCCAUGGAGUCCAGACCCAAACAGUACAGGAACACUACAGCCUUUGUUUCACUAACACAUCAGAUAACAACAGGAUUAGACUGUUGCUAGACAGGGAAACGACAAGAUCCAGAGGAUAAUCAUGAAUAAUUCAAGCCAUCAGGAGGAUGGAUGCUCACAGAGCUCAGUGUUUCUCCUCACAGG